rnacentral:rRNA from 1 species
CAGUAGCCACGGGAAUACGGAGGGUGCAAGCGUUAUCCGGAUUUAUUGGGUUUAAAGGGUCCGUAGGCGGACUUAUAAGUCAGUGGUGAAAGCCUGUCGCUUAACGAUAGAACUGCCAUUGAUACUGUAAGUCUUGAGUAUAUUUGAGGUAGCUGGAAUAAGUAGUGUAGCGGUGAAAUGCAUAGAUAUUACUUAGAACACCAAUUGCGAAGGCAGGUUACCAAGAUAUAACUGACGCUGAGGGACGAAAGCGUGGGUAGCGAACAGGAUUAGAUACCCGGGUAGUCCCUGUCUCUUAUAC